CCCUCUUGUUCCCUCCGCUCUGCCCGUGACCUUCUCCUGUCCGCUGCUCGCACCCGUAUGGCCAACUCGCGCUUGCAGGACUUCUCGCAGGCGGCUCCCUUUCUAUGGAAUAGCCUGCCUACCCCCAUCAUACUCUCCCCUCGUCUUCAAUACUUUAAGAAGUGCCUUAAAACCCAUCUCUUUAGUAAAGCUUAUGGCCUCCCAGAGUAAC